rnacentral:rRNA from 1 species
AUUGAACGCUGGCGGCAUGCCUUACACAUGCAAGUCGAACGGUAACAGGUCUUCGGAUGCUGACGAGUGGCGAACGGGUGAGUAAUACAUCGGAACGUGCCUAGUAGUGGGGGAUAACUACUCGAAAGAGUGGCUAAUACCGCAUGAGAUCUACGGAUGAAAGCAGGGGAUCGCAAGACCUUGUGCUACUAGAGCGGCCGAUGGCAGAUUAGGUAGUUGGUGGGAUAAAAGCUUACCAAGCCGACGAUCUGUAGCUGGUCUGAGAGGACGAUCAGCCACACGGGGACGGAGACACGGCCCAGACUCCUACGGGAGGCAGCAGUGGGGAAUUUUGGACAAUGGGCGCAAGCCUGAUCCAGCAAUGCCGCGUGCAGGAUGAAGGCCUUCGGGUUGUAAACUGCUUUUGUACGGAACGAAAAGCCCUGGGUUAAUACCCUGGGGUCAUGACGGUACCGUAAGAAUAAGCACCGGCUAACUACGUGCCAGCAGCCGCCGUAAGAC